AUUGAACGCUGGCGGCAUGCCUUACACAUGCAAGUCGAACGGUAACAGGUUAAGCUGACGAGUGGCGAACGGGUGAGUAAUAUAUCGGAACGUGCCCAGUCGUGGGGGAUAACUGCUCGAAAGAGCAGCUAAUACCGCAUACGACCUGAGGGUGAAAGCGGGGGAUCGCAAGACCUCGCGCGAUUGGAGCGGCCGAUAUCAGAUUAGGUAGUUGGUGGGGUAAAGGCCUACCCAGCCUACGAUCUGUAGCUGGUCUGAGAGGACGACCAGCCACACUGGGACUGAGACACGGCCCAGACUCCUACGGGAGGCAGCAGUGGAGAAUUUUGGACAAUGGACGCAAGUCUGAUCCAGCCAUGCCGCGUGCGGGAAGAAGGCCUUCGGGUUGUAAACCGCUUUUGUCAGGGAAGAAAAGGUUCUGGUUAAUACCUGGGACUCAUGACGGUACCUGAAGAAUAAGCACCGGCUAACUACGUGCCAGCAGCCGCAGUAACAC
rnacentral:rRNA from 1 species